AUUUCCUUAUUUUACUGACUUUGUUAUCAUAGUUAAGUAAGAGAAAGGGUUAAGAGCUCUCAUUGUAAGAUGUUAGCUGUCUAAUUGAUCUCUCCGAUGAAUUGAUUUCACAUACAGUGACGUAAAGUGAAUGUUAAUUUGUUAGGAAGGAUGAAUUCUGAUUUCUAUGAUUCGAGCUCAAGUAAGGUUACCCGCUGAAUUUAAGCAUAUAAUUAGGCGGAGGAAAAGAAACCAACAGGGAUUCCCUUAGUAGCGGCGAGCGAAAUGGGAUCAGCCCAAGGUGUGAAUCUGAGUUGCUUGCAGCUCGGAGUUGUACAUCAGGGCCUCGGCCGCAAUAGAUUGCUCGCUAAGACGCCUGGAAAGGCGUGCCACAGAAGGUGAUAGCCCUGUCUCUGCGAUUACAAUCAUUUGCUAGGUCUUGGUCUAAUGAGUCACGCUCUUUGGGAGUAGAGCGCAAAUAGGGUGGUAACCUCCAUCCACGGCUAAAUAUUGACGAGAGAUCGAUAGCAAACAAGUACCGUGAGGGAAAGUUGAAAAGGACUUCGAAAGGAGAGUUAAAAUACCUGAAAUCGCCAAGGGGGAAGCGACUGUCCGUGACCCAAGUGAAGUUGGUUGCAAAGGUUUCGAUCUUUGAUGACUGAUCAACAACUCGACAUCACUUCUCAACUGUUUGACACUUUUUGAACUUGUUUCUGUAAAGCUGUUCUUUCAGUGCAGGAGUGACGCGAACCGGCUUGCCGUAAGUUGUCGAGAGUGGCACGUAUAGACGACCCGUCUUGAAACACGGACCAAGGAGUUAAACAGGUGUGCAAGUGUAAGAGUGUUAAACUCAUACGCGCAGUGAAAGCGAAAGCUGUGAAUAUCAAUGCAACAGCGGCCGACUCUUGAAGUUCGAGCUUGAGCAUAUUUGUUUAGACCCGAAAGAUGGUGACCUAUACCUGAGUUGGGUGAAGCCAGGGGAAACCCUGGUGGAAGCUCGUAGCGAUACUGACGUGCAAAUCGUUCGUCAAACUUGGGCAUAGGGGCGAAAGACUAAUCGAACCAUCUAGUAGCUGGUUCCCUC
rnacentral:misc_RNA from 1 species